rnacentral:lncRNA from 1 species
GGCCGCCCCGCGCUCGGUGUUCACUCCGAUAAGAUCAGAUUUUAAGAAGCACCCAGGCGCUGAACCCUAGCAGUCUGUCUGCAAGCCGCAGGCGAAUUGCAGCCUGAAAUUACCUGUUCUAUGGCUGAAUGAGCUGCGGUCAGUCAACGACAGGUGUGGUGACGUCAGUUUACCAACAUGGUGGCUGCUGGCCUCCUCUGUGGUCUGACCGGUGUGGAGAACCGAGAUGGACCGCUUCCUUCCCCGUCUCGAACCCAGAAUUCAGCCCUGAGUGCGGUGCUUGCGCGGCUGGCAGAAACUGCAGCACUGUAACCCUGCGUCUCUAUCCCAGCGCGCGUUGCAGACUCUAGCCGCGGGGCGAUUUGCUGAAUAAGCAGUUUUACCCUCCGUGCGACAAACCUCUCGCGUUUGAGUCCCCGUAGCCGAUCCUCGUGCGAUGGAAAUCCUUCCUCCAGGUUCCGGCGCACCCCACUAUUGCUGGAAAUUCCUAACAAGAUAUCCUUUAGCCGUCCUGACUUGUCAUACUCCCACACAGUGAAGCAGCACACGGGGGUAAUGCACUCCCCUCGCCGCCAUCUUCCUUCCCCCUCAGUAAAAUUUUUAUAAAGAAAAUUUUAAAUAUCUUUAUAAUGAAGGUAUAUAUUAAUUUACUAUUGAUUUGAGUAAUUUUUUUUUAAAGUUUAAGAAUUUUAGUAUGUUUCAGGCAGCCUUUCAAGACUUAAGGAAACCCAGUGAAGUGGUUUUGUAAUUGAGAUUCUUCAUUUCUUAUGGUGGUCAUACCCACCAAAUUGCACCUUUUCCUAGUUGAUUCUAAUUUCUGACAGCCAUGUUAAACCUCUUGGGGUUUUUAAGAUGUAAAUUUUGCCAUUGUGCAUUAAUUUACGAAAAGCUGUUUUAGUUUGGGUUAUAUGCAGUAAGCCAUAAAAGAGGCAGAAAAAAAGAUUUUUUUUUUUUCUUUCCAACUUUGUAUUUUAAAAAAUUUACCAGCAUUCUUCAGUUUGUUUGAAGGGUUGUUUUGUGAAGACUUUGGAAAGAAAAAUAGAUAUCACAUGUUGUCUCUGGGCUGUUUUUUAUUUGUUAAUAGGUAGUAUCCCUAUUUGAUAUGUGUUCUAAUUGUCCAAUAUGUAGCAGGAUCAGUAUUUGAAGAGCCCAUUAGUAGGGCUCCAGUAAAGUUUUUGAAUUUUAUUAGCUGGGGGCAUUAACUUGGACAGAUCACUUAACCUCUUCUGUUACAGGUGAGUGUACUCUUGAGACCUGCAAAGUUAUAUGACUAAUUAAGCUUUUUAAGAGUAAGGAUUUGAAUUUAGGCAUUCUUGCUCAGCCUCUUUGUUCUGGAUGGGCCGGGGGAGACAUAAGUAAGGCCUAACUGGAAAGUGAAAAGAGUCUGAAUAGAAGAUUAUGGAAGAAAGGAAUUGCAGAUGAAGUUGAGAGCCAGCAUAACUGCUCAGUGGGGUCAAAUAGAGCCCAACAGGCAGAGUUCCAAAUAGGGACAAAUGGAUCAGAGAAUGAGAACAUGUCAAUGAAAAAUAAAUUUAGACAUGAGGUUAGUUGUACAUUUCAUAGUAUUAUAUUAACCAACAAUAUCUUAUUAUCAUCAUUGAUAAUGAUUCUUCACAUGUAUUCCAAAAUAUAAAACUAUAAAAAAAUUUAAAAUACCUUCUGAAAGAUUUUUCUUAAAUAAAAUAUAAAACUUUGACACUAAUUUUAAAAUAGUUUCAAGCACCAAAAUCUGAAUAUUCUUUAGAAUGACUCAACUUCUAGGAAUUUUCUUCACAAAUGAAGCUUUGAGAAACAAAUGGACACCCAUGUAUGACAUAUAGAAAAUGCUAAGUAAAUGUCUCUUCCACUGCUGUUAUUUGUCUUCUUAACUAAAAUACAUUUUAGACUCUUAAGAUCAGAUAAUCUGCAAUAUUUAGCUUAAAGUUUUUAAAAUGGCAUAUGUACAUAAGAUCACCAUUGUCCACCUUAUGCUUUGACCUUUUGUUAAGUCAAGCUAAUAAUGAAUAGCCUUAAGGUUAUCUUAUAAAAAGCAAUGGAAGAUAUUUCUCCCUAAAUAUUUAAAAAUAAGUAAAAUAACUUUGUUUAAUCAAGAACUCUAGGUGAAGUUUGGGCUUUUGUGAUCUAGAAAGAAUUAUAUUCAGUUUUUUGUUUUGUUUUGUUUGAAGACUUGAUAAAUGACUUUAUUUCUUGUGUUUUUAUAUUUCCAGUUCAAGGGCUUCUUUAAAUUUCAGCAGUAAGUGAUGAGCACAGAUUACUUACAAAUAAAAUUUAAUUAUGCAUCUUAUGCCAGGUAUUUAACAGAAGUUUUUUCUUUGAGCAUACCAGCAGUAGCAAACCUGACCUAUAUAAAAGACUUCAACACACACUUGCAAGAGAUAUUGAAACCUAGAAGAUAGGAAGAUAGGAAUUAAAUCUCAUGGAAAGUCCAUCUACUUAGUUAUUCAGCCACAUAUCAACUAUUGAUAAUGGUUCCAUUUUCUACUUGAGAAAAAUAUUAUAUCCUUUAUGAUGACUAUAUAUACCUAAGUUAUAGUAUUUCCCUUCAAUAUUUUUGCCUUUUAUAUAACAUGUGAAUUGAACUAUAGGUGAGACUAGUUGAACAUGAAAUUUUAAAAACUGUUCACAUUCUGACAGUAUCUCUUUUUGAACAUGGUAUUCAGGCUACAUCACUAGCUAUAGUAGCAUUAAUAGUUGCCACCCUGCAGAGGGCACUCCAACUAAAAAUCAAUCUUGAUUAUUAUAUAAAAUAUUUUGCAUAAUUCUUUUUAAUCACAUAAAAAAUUUACCACUUACAUUUUUUAUUUAUAUAACAAAGAAGUCAUCAAAACUAUAUUCUAACAGGAGUAAUGUAAAGCUAUCAGCUUGUGCUUAUAGAAGAAUAUUGCUUUAAAUAUAUGUACAUGUUAUUAAAACCAAACUAUCCUUUUAAAAUCCCUCAGAAGAAUGACAGCAUUCAACACAAUUUAGAAAACUUGCAAGCAUAACUUUAGUUUUGUUAGUAUCUCUUCAUAUAUAUAGGCAGAAUUUUAUGGGAGUUGAAUUGCAUCCUUCAGGGAUUCUUGGCCUACGAUCCAUAAAUGGAAGUUAGGGUAUCUUUUAAAACAUUAAAAUUACAUGUAAAUUUAAAAACAUUUUUGGCACAUAUACAUAUGUGCAUUUUUGUGAGGAAAAGAUCUGUAACUUUGACUAGAUUAUCCAGUAAGUCUCUGGCUUUAAAAUAGUCUGGGGUUGGGAAGAAGUGUGGCCAGAAAGAUACUAAGAACCUUGGGCCUGUUUUGUGAGUAAAACUUACCAUUUUGGAGUAUGCACAAUUAUUAUGUUUAGAAAAGGAUAGUAUGGUGUCUUUCUCAGAUGAGAUACACAAUAAAUGUUAAUUGUAAGGAACAAAUGCAGAAAGUUUUAAGAACAAAUGCAGAAAGUUUUAAAAGAACUUGCUCAGAAUCAUAGCAUAGAAGUGGUAUAACUUACUAAUCGAGUAAAUUUGAUAAAUUUAAUGCUAAUAAGAUGACCUUAUCAUAUAUUUAUAUCUAAGAAAUCUUCCUGGACAAACAGGAGUUAGAUCUCAGUAUGGAUAGAACUGAUUUAGAAUAGUGCUUCUUAACUGAGAAUUAAGCCCUAAGGCCUUAAGGCAUGCAUUUUAUGUAAUGAAUUCCUUUAUUUCCUAUGCAUCUAGAAGGUAUUAGCUAUGUGCAUUGUUGGGAAACUUGCAGUGUAAUCACCCACAUCAUUUUCUACAGUUUAGUUCUCAUGGAACCGUGGUUGUGAAAGGCUGGUUUAGAAGGUAAUAUAUGCAGGUAAAGUGAGAGCAACAUCGUCUCAGAGGUGUGAAUAACAUGAUUUUGAAUUGGGACUGUGUAGAACUGUUCAGAGAGCAAUAGAUAGAUUGCUAAUUAGAGUGUUUUAUAUAGUGAGUGAUGAUUGGUAAGGCAGAAUAUCUAGAUAAGGUAGAAAGGUACAAGUAGGGUAGGGUUCUGGAGAACUCUUAAGUACCAGGAUAAAGGCUAGCUCUUAGCCAUAUAAGCCUAGUCAUGUCAUUGGGUGAUGGGUAUAUUUUAUAUUUGAACAGAUGAUUGUUAAAUAUAGUACUUAGAAUCAUAAAAAUAUAGUUUAAGGCUGUAAGAAAUAUGUAAAUCCAUACUAUUAUAUAUUUAUUUUUUCAAAAUGUGUUUGGUGUUAAGUUUGCUUCUAUCAGCCUGUGAGCUACAAGAUACUUUUGUGAAGAAUCAUUAAGAAAUUCUAGGUUAAUAAGAUGAAAAUCAGUCUGUUAAGUUGGAAAAUAUGUAGAAAAAUAAGUUUGUCUUUCAAGUUUUGUUUGCUUUUAUAGGACCUAAGAAAAGCUGGAUUACUGAUUUUUGCUAAUAAACAAGACGUUAAAGAAUGCAUGAGUGUAGCAGAAAUCUCCCAGUUUUUGAAGCUAACUUCUAUUAAAGAUCAUCAGUGGCAUAUCCAGGCAUGCUGUGCUCUUACUGGCGAGGGGUAAGAAGUCUUCCUAUUAGGUAACAUGUAUUUAGCAUGGAAAUGUUUAUGUCUUCUUAAACCCAGUAAAUAUUUAAGGAAAAGAUGUAAGAAAUGGUUGAUGUCUACAGUUAGACUUUUUAGGAUGUUUUUGUAAAUUCUAAAACAUACAAUAUAAACAUAAUAUACAUAAAUCAACUGAGCAUAUAGAUGAUGCAGUUGCUGUAGAAACUCAGAGAAAUGAGUGUGUCAUCAAGAGCUGGAGAAGUCAGGAAUGCUUCUUAUGAUGAUGAUGGAAUGCAUCAUCAGAAUAUACUCAGAACUAAUGCUGAGUAUAUUCCAUCUCAGGUGCUUUCCAUAUGGUGCCUUAUUUAAUCCUCAGGGCAGCCCUAUAGACUAUGUUAACUCAUUUUAUGAAUAAAGAAUCUGAAAUAGAAGAAGACCCAUGCAUGAGACUAUUUUAGGGAUAUUUGCAUUGCCACCAGUGUUGUCAAGAGAAAAAUUUUACAUUUUCAAAACAAAGUUAGAAGAUAGUAUGGCCCAUGGAGAUAGCAAUGGCAUGAGGGUCCUUGGUUUUGGAGUGAGAAGAGUUGAAGUGUAGGUUGAUGCCUAACAGUAGGAUUUUGCCCAGGUCUAAUGCCCAGAGAUGAAAGUAUUUCCAGAAGGAGGUGUUAGUCAACUUUGUCAAAUACAAGGUCAACAACAAGGAGGAUAGAGAGAAUGUAUUAACUUUAACUGUGAAUAAGUAAAUUCAGUUAGAGCAAAUUCUCUGUAUUGGAAAGUGGGCAGAGGAUAAGAGUAGUUCAGAGAAGAAUUGGAUUUUAGAGUACCAACUGUAAAUUCUUGGAAGGAGGGAUGAUAUAGAGGAGGUUGGAAAUAGAAUAAAAAGCUAAAAAGAAGAGCCAGGCUCAGUGGAACAUGCCUAUAACCCCAGCUACUCAGGAGGCUAAAGCAGGCGCUUUGCAAAUUUGAGGCCAGUCACAAAGGGCUGGGGAUGUAGCUCAAUGGUAGAGCACCUGGGCUCAGUCUUCAGUAUUAGGGGGAAAAAGGGGGAAGAAAAAUGGUUAAAAGAAGGGGCAAGCAAAAGUUUGGUUUUGUUUUUCUUUUUUCAAAGAUAUGGUAAAUCUGUGUUAUAUGUUUGUGCAUGCACACAGAAUAAAGAGUUAAAUGACAGAAGAAGGAUUCUAAAAAGAGGUCUUAAAUUUUUGGUUGAGGUUCUUGAGGUAUUCAGAAAGAGCAGAAGCUUGAGGCAUAGAUGAAUGAAAUAGGUAAGGCAAGAGAAAUGCUUUUCCUUUCAAGAUUGAUGAACAGUGAACUAGUUAAAUUGAGUUUUUGAAGCCAUAUCUUAUUGAAAUAGAAGACAGAAGAGCUAAUUUUAACUUUAAAAAAAGCAAAUCUAUUAAUUUUUUUAAGAUCUCAGACAAUACCAGUUACCCAUAUAUUUAAGUAAAAAAAGUUAUGUAUUUGUCAAAUAGUUUAAUAUAAAUGGAAAGAGAAUGAGGCACUGGGUUCCAUCCUCAGCACCACAUGAAAAUAAGUUGAAUACAUGUUGAUAUAUAUAUAUUUCAAAGCAAAAACACUUGAUUAUAAUAUUAAAUUUAACAGUAAAUAUAGUCAUCUAGGAUUUACAUAAGAUUUAAUUUGUAUUCUUUGAUAAUUAAUUAGAAAAUAUGUACAGAUUACAUAUGAAGUCAACUACAUUUUAAAAAGAAUAAAACAAUAGAUGAAGGUGUAUUUUCAAACUUUGUUUCAUGUGGGUUUCUAUUUGUAGCAGUUAGCCCGGAGAAAUGUUUAGUUUGGGGGGAAAUGUUCUGUUCCCUUCUUAAUUCUUGAUACUUUGGUCCAAAUUGUUGAUUUUAGUUUUGUUCAGCAUUUUGAUUCAGUGAAUUUGAGAUCACAAACUUUGGAGCUUGUCCUCAUUUUUAUACCUAUUUUUGCUAUUUGCUAACCUUGCUAAACCUGGAUUUUCUCUGUAACAUGGAAAAAAAUUCCCAGAUAUAGUAGUGUACACCUGUAAUUCCCAAUACUCAAGAGGUUAAGGCAGGAAGAUCAGAAGAUCUCAACUUUGAGACUAGACUAAGCAACUUGGAAAGACUCUGACUUAAGAUUUUAAAAAAUUAAAAGGGCUGAGAGUAUAGCUCAGUGGUAAAAUGCCAGGGGCCCAAAAUCACCAGUACCAAAGCAAACAAAUAAAUGGAAAAAACAAAAUCAUGGGAUGGCUUCUGACCUCACUGUAGUGAAGAUUAAUUAAAAUAGUAGAUGUUGGGGCUGGGUUGUAGCUCAGUGGUGGAGCACUUGCCUCACAUGUAUGAGGCACUGGGUUCCAUCCUCAGCACCACAUAAAAAUAAAUAAAUAAAAUAGUGGGUGUUAAGUCCUUAGAACAGUAGUAAUUACUAAUUUGCUAUUAGUUAAGUACUGUUCAUUUGUUGCUUUUAUUAUUGUGCCUUAUUUCCUAUCAGUAGUUUAUAGGUAGAAUUUAGUUAAAGGAGAAAAAUAUAGGCCACAACUAUUUGUUUACUUCAUUGCCAUUUAUUUUUAUCUUCUUUUAUAAUAUUAGACUUGUAUUUGAUAGAAAAAUCUGAGUUUUAAAAAAAACUUUAAUAUUGUACCUUCAUUUUGUUGUAAUAAAACUUGAAACCAUUUUCUUCUUGCUAAACAUUUAAUUUCUCUUAUCACAAUGAAUAUCCCUGUGUUUUGGAUUAAUCCAGUUACCCGUUGUUCAGCAAUCUAAUUGGUGUUAUGAUAUAAAAUUUUACUGCCCACAGAUUUUUAUAUAUAAAUGUAAUAUACAUACAUGUUUACUUUGUGUUAACAACUCUGCUAUAUGGUUAAUUUAAUAUCCUGCCACUUGUUUCAUGUAUCUCAUAAGCAUUUUUGGUAUCAAAAUUUUUGAAAGGACAGUUUUAAUGUUCGUUCUUUUUUUCCUGUUAAGAAUGCUUAAUGAAGCGCUGAGGGUAUAGUUCCAUGGUAGAAUGCUUACCUAGGCUUUAUAAGAGCCUGAGUUCAAUUCCCAGCACUGCAAAAAAGGCUUCAAUGAACAGUCUUAUGUGUAAAUUUAUAAAUAAUCCCUUGAUUUUUUUUUUUUUAGGAUACAUUUCUAGAAUUAGAAAAAUUUUUCUAAUUUUUUAAUAUUUUUGUUAUCCUAUUGCCAGAUUAUGUUCUGUUGGUAUUCAUUGUGUAAUUAGUAAGCUCAGUUUUAUGUCAGCCAGAGUGUUCUAGAUACUAGAGAUAUAAUUAAACCAAAAGCAUGGAUGUACUGUGUAUAUGAGAGAAUGGUUUCACUGCAACAGCUCCUGCAUUGAAUACUGUUGAUUUUUAAAACUCUGUUGUUCAAGUAAAUUAAAAAUAUCAUCUUUUAGUUUGUAGUCCGUAGUUUUUAGUUCAGAAUUUAAUCAAAUGAUUUUGGUUUCUUUAUAGAUUAUGCCAAGGACUUGAAUGGAUGAUGUCACGACUUAAGAUUAGAUGAUCUCUACUGACCUCUUCUCAUAGACUUUGUAUAAACAAAGUGCUGGACUUUACCUGAAAGCUGCAAAAAUUAAUGGUUUAGAUAUAUUUAUAAUAAACUGAUUUCAAUUUUUUUCUAUAAGAAGAAAAAUUAAGACCACUUAUUUGAAAACAAGAUGGGAGUCUCAUCUUCCAAUUUGCUUUCUCAUUAGUUCCUUUCAAAGUACUUUAUUAAAGCUGUGAUUGACAUUUUUCUCAAUGAAUCCUCUCAGGACAAUGUAUAGCCUGUGGUAAGUACAAAGGGAGAGGAAGAUGUUUUGAACUUUAAGAGCUUUAUUAUCAGUAUACCCCUCCCCAACUGAAUGUUGUUCUCUUUUUGUUCCACUAAGUCAAAAUACAAAUCAGCACAGAUACUGUUUCCAAUAUUUUAAAUGUCAUGUUAGUUAUGAAAAAAAAAAAAAAGUAUUUUACUUAAGGUUGUGUGUGUAUUAUGUAUAUACCUCAAGUUCAAGUUAAUGGCUUUGAUUUGUGUUCUAAAGAAAAGCAAAUAACGCAAAAAUUAGUAAUAUCCUUAGUUAUUGCCCUAAUGAGAUAAGUACUGGCAUUGGUAUUAAGUGCCAUUUUAUACUUUUCCUGUUUGUUUUCUGUAUUGUACUAAUCAAACGUCCCCUCUCCCCCAAUCAUUGAGCUGCUCUUAAGAAAAAAAAAGAUACAGGAAAAAGCUUGACAUUGUAUACCCAUUUUUGUUGAUCAGUAACACACAUAGAAAUGUGUAAUCCAACUAAGUGAAAUAUCUGUCAAAUUUUUGGCUUACCCAGUUGACAGAAUUGCACAGUGGAGCAUUGAUCAGAUUAAUCCUUGUAUUGGUCUAAAUUAUUGAAUAGAUUAUUAAUCCACUUAUAAAUCAAUCAUAAAUUGUGAUUAAAACUAUCAAGUGAUUUCUUCUUAAUUAAAAUCUAUUGUGUGAAACAUGUCUACCCAAAGAGGUAACAUUCUAUAAAUAUUAUUAAACAAUUAGCUAGAGUCUUUUUAAGUAUAAAAUUAUGUAUGUCAAGCUGUUAAAAUGAGAGUACAAGUAAUGCAUAAAAAAUUUCUGAGCAACAUUUGAAAUUUUUUAAUUUGCAGAUUUCUUAUUUCUUAUUUUAGGAUUUGGAAUCCUUUUGAGGUUUUUUUGUUGUUCUUAAGUUUUCUUUGAUCUUUCACCUUGUAAAUGCAUUGUUUAACAAUUAAUAGUGGUAAAUUUUUAAUGCUGUUGGCUGGAAAACUGAUUGGUGUAUGAUAUAUUAUUCGUACUAAGAAAUAACUUGACCCAAAAUACCUUUUGUUUGCUUAGGUUUCUUUCUUUCUUUUUAAUGUCUGAAAAUUGAAGGUAUUUUUGUCAUAAUUGUAAACAGAAUUAUCCUGUAUUAAAAUAUAUACUCUAUUUGUGUAUCUUUUAUGCCCUGAAAAUUUGAAGGUUAAUCCAUACUGGCAUGUUUUAGAACAUUCAAAAAAAGAAAUUACUUUUAAUACCAACCUUUUAAAUUUCAUGAAGAUUUUGGUAGGAAUAAUAGUAUAUACUAUAAGCAUUGACAAAACUGAAAAUUUCUUUCUAUGAAAUAUAAAAUGCUCAGUAUCUAAAUCCAAGUUGGGUGUGGUAUAUCAGUGUUAACUUUGGAUGUUUUGUGUUUUAUAUUUAUGUUGCAGUGUUCAAAAUGCAAAUAUAACAUUUAAUAUUUGUCAUGCUUCUACAAAAGUGAAUUCUAAAUUACUAAGCUUUGUCCAUAUGUACUCAUACUUUUGGAAUUACUUGUUGUAUAUUAAAAAUUCCCUUAAAAACCCAAUUCUAUUUUGCAGUUUCAUCAGAAACAAAUAUCCUUUAAUAGAGUCCCAAAAUCUACACUCUUUGUCCUUUUUAUUUUUUAAUGUGAGUAAUCAUGUACUUAUCCUUGGAUUGCUGUCCUGUCAAUACAAUACAGAUACAUUCAAUUGUCAUCAAAGUGUUGGAAAAGUAUUUUAAGUGGAUGUGUAAAGAAAGCAUGCAUUACAUUAUUAAGAGGUGGUUUAGUGUAAUUGACUACUGUCAUGAUAUCAUGAGAAUGCUUGGUAUCUUACAUGACAUUAACAAAACAUGACUUUUUUAUUUUCUACCCUUCUAGACUGAGCAUCAGAAAUAAAACAGUACCUGUGUGCUUGUAUGUAAAACCAAAAUUGCAACUGUGAAAAAAAGAUAUCAUUUCUUCUAUGAAAAUAUCAAAAUCAUUUUAACAGUAUUUUUCCAAAUAAGAUGGAGAGCCUCAUGAACAGUCAUUCUGGCAAUUUAUAUGUAGUUUAAGUGGAAAUAAGCAAAGAAUAAUUCUUUUGGGUUUUUAAUGUUAUUUGGGGUUAUUUAUGCUCAGCUUUGGAAAGAACGAAGAUUUGUAUCUCUAUACAUGUAGCAAGAUUUAAAUACCUGUUUUGAUACUAAUUUUGAGAGUCAUAACUUCUUUUGAUAUGUUGGUAGAAAUUAAAAAUGAGCAUAUGCUAAAGCAUUAAGAUAUACUUAAUUUUGUCAUAAUAGCAUUUAUAAAGUAUAUCUUUCACAUUAUAUUAAAGGUUCUUGUUUGAAAUUUUCAGUUUUCUUUAUCUUCCUAGCACAUCGUGGCCCUCACAAUGGGCAAAGAAUACAGUGAAGACAAGUGGGGUAGGGGCAGUGGGGAGUGGGCAUUCAUUUCCUUAUAUGAUAUUUUGCCUUAAGAGUAAAAAAGUGCUUUAGCACUGUUGGUUGGCAUAUUUAAUGCAGGUGGAGAAAGUGUCUUUAGAAGUAUGACACAAAAUAGAGAACAGAAGAGUUUCUGGCCUUUUAAGAAGUGCCUGGUAGGUAGAUACAGAGUCACAGAAAAGUGCAGAGAGCUUGAGGAAAGGUGUGAAGUCCUUGAGAUGUUCUUUUUCUUUUGUCUUUAGGGUAUAGUAUUAAGAUGCCUAGAAAUGGGACUGUAUUGUCUCUCUCAUGGGCACUUUACAUUUCUUGCUGUCAGUACAGCAGCCACAUACAGUACAGUCAACCUCAAAAUCUGUUUAUAAAAGUAAUGUAAAUAGAAAAAUUAUAGACAACUUUCUAGUUUUCUGUGCAGGCAGUUUUGGGAAUGUACUGUAGUCUGCUCUGCUUUGUAUAUAGGGGAAAAGAGCACAUUGUAGAUUACCUGUGACUUUUUGUCAUCUUCUCUUAAUUGCCCAGGGUAUCCUGGCCUCAAUCUCAUUUUCAGGGUUUGGGUAGAGGUAAGAUUUUUCUCAUGACUCAACUUUGAUCCCUUCCACUUCUUGCUUCAGGAUUGACCUUUCCCAUAGCUCAAUUAUCCAUUGUUCUCCUGAAGGUACACUAAACUUUGUCUAUAACCAUUAUUUCCCAAACCACUAGUUCUAAAUAGCUCAUCUAGUUUCUAGCUAUCUACCUACCAUUGCCUUUGUUUGCUUGUUUGGAUUUUGUUCAUUAAAGGGCAUUUUAAGAGUUGUUGAGUCCAUCAGAAGACCAGAUUGCAAUGUAUACAGCAUAUACGUGCCAAUAGUAGAAUCCUGUAUAUUAUACUGUAUUUAACAUUUAAUGCUUCUUAAUUUUUCAUAUGCUGCAAAAGUAGAUUCAGAAAGAUAAGAGAAAUACUUAAACUCUGCCAGUUCCUUGAGCUACUAGUAAGGUCUGGAGGAUAUUAAGUUAUAUGUGCAUUAUUUUCCCACUACCAAGAAUGGUUAUGUUUUGGAGCAUACCAGUUCAAGUAAUUUAAGUUGGAAAAAGAUACCAAAUCUUUAUGUAGUGUUUAACUUAAAGAUAUCCUUAAACCAUUGCCCACAUUCCAUUUUUCCCCCUCAUGUUUACUUAAAGAACAAAGAUCAAUAUUAGAUUUCUAAAGGAAUUAGUAAUAAGAAACUUAGUUUUACAAAAUAAGCCUAUUGGGAUGGACUUUAAAAGACAUUAGAAUAAUCAACCAUUAUGUAUUGGCUGUGUAAAUGCAGGUAUAAAAAAGAAAAAGGCCUUUAAACUUUAAAGCUCCACUUACACAAAAGAAUGUAUUAAAGAUUAUUUUAAGAUCAUGAUAGUGGAGUCAAGGAAGGCAAGCUAGAAUAGAACACUUUGCUAAAAAGUGUCUGCUUCUCUUUAACCUUAAAAUGGUAUGAAAUUUUGAAGAAAUGUAAUAGGAUACAGUUGGGUUAGUUAUGCAAUAUUUCUUAUUGAUUUUGUAGCCUUUCCUCCUUUACAUGUUGUUCUGAAAGCUAAAGUUUAAAUCUUUAUGGUAUUGUAUGCUAGAUAAUGCCAUUCUUUGGUAGAAAAUUCCCAUAGUCUGUAUCCAAGAAGUGCCUAAAAUUGAUUUGUGUUGAUUUUUAAAUCCAUCUAAUAAAUUAUGUGUUUUAUAUGGUAUUGUAUGUGCUUGUCUUACUGAUGACACAGACCUGAGGGUUUUUAAGUCACAGUUUAUGCUUUAUUUGAAUAAAAAGGUUUAAAUUUAAAGAUAUCCACCUAACCCUCAUCAAGCAUAGAAUAAAAGCAUCAGCAAAAUUAUUUUUUGUCUUUUCUAAUAACAGUUUUUCAUGACCUUGUCAUUCGUUAAUGCAGCAACUAGAAAACUGAACUCUUACUGUUUUUUUAAACAGUUUUUUAAAAAAAAUGUAAUGUUUAUAUUUGAAGACCUCAAAAUAAGAGUUUGUUGCUUAUGUAAGAGCCUCUUCAUUCUCGGUUAGUGGUUAGCAGUUUUGACUGUCAAAACAUUUAGUGUUCAGUCAUUUCAUUUCCUUUGUUUAGAUAGUGCUUAACCGAAAUAUUUGAUAAAAUCAAUACAUUUCUCGUAUAUUGUUCUGUUUAUAAAACUGAGCAUAAAAUAACUGUAAAUUCUAGAGAAAAGCUUGACUGUAUUUUCAGCAAUGUACAUUACAUUGUGUUCAUAAGUCAUUUUGCAUGAAAAAUGAAAUGUGUAUCUUAUUUUAAAUUAAUGUGUACUAUUCCCUUUCCCCAAACUUCUUACAUUGAUGUUAUACAGAAUUCUAGUUCAUUAGAUUGGAGUAGCCUUUUCUUAUAUUGUGCCCCUCUAGGUUCCAUGAGGUAAGGUGAUACCUGCAAAGCACUUUUAAAGAUAUUUUUUAUGUUAAUCUCCAGGAUACAGCAUUGAGGAGGCAGCUAUAUCUAAUGAAGGCUCUUUUGAUUGCUAGAGAUGAGAAAAGUAUAUACUAAUAGUUUUAAUUUCUGCACAAAAUACAUUUUAUUAAUUGUCUUGAUUUAAAAUAUGACAAAUCCUUGUAGAUAUUGUUCUUAUCAUAUUUUCCCAGAGGAGCCUAAGUAAAAAUGUGUUCCAACUGGCCUGUUUAUAUAACUUCCACCACAAUUGCUACCCCAAAUUGAGCUCUCUGAAUAUUGACAAGUUAGAAAGCCUUAUGAAAAUUUUUGUUUCUUGAAAUUUUCAGUAUGACAAAAGGUUUUCACUUGAGGUCUGCAUGCAAAAAGGGUUGGAAAGUUUGUCUUACCUCUCUGCUGUUUUAUGAACUGUUUCUCUACAUACUAAGGAUAUUUCACACUGAAGGAAUAUUCCAGGAAAUGAGGGUGUUGAAAUUGUUUGAUGCUUUUGUGUUUCCUCAGUGCAGAUGUGUUAGAUGUCUAGGAAGCAGUGCUUGACCAGACAGCUUCAUGGAUGGCUGGAGGAUAUUUAUGUUUACUCUGAAGAAAGGAGGAAUCGGGCAUAUUGGAGUGGGGACCUUUUCAUUGGUAAAGCAGUGUAAUCAGCUGCUUUGCAGAUGUGCUACUUCAUUAUACUUGCAUCAACGUUCUUAUGCCCAUAAUUGACUGAAAUGUCAGGCUCCAGAAAUGUAAGGUGUUGGCCAGAUGACCAGUAAUAGGACCUUGUGGAUUAUGAAGUGGAGGAAUAAUGUCAAGGUAGUUUGAGCAGUAAUGACAAAGUUUUACUGGUAAAUUUCCAUGUUUGAUAUGUACAUUAAUCUUUAAAACAAAAAAGUUGCAUGUUAACCUGGUACAAAGUAUUGUCUCUGCUUUAUGCUUCAAGUAAAAAGAAACAUACUUGAGUUUCAAUUGUUAUUCUAUUAUGUACUGUUAUAUAUUCCUUUUCUUUUAGAAAAGGUUAAUUAUAAUUACUC